ensembl:lncRNA
UGAUUCCAAGGAGGACUAGGUCACAGUUGAGCAGCAGGUGACCAAUGUUUAUAACUGCUUCAUUUAUGGAAUGCUUUGGGGAAAAAACCUUCCUCAUCCUUUGAGUUUGUCAAGCAAUUUGGUUUAUGCAAGUUAAUUUUUUAUCUACCUUUACCCCUUAUUUCUCUGCCAUUUUAAAACCUACUAUGUAAAGGCAGUAUAUGUAACCUGGAAUUGGCAUGUGUUUUAAACGGAGCCGAUGUGAAUAUGACGACGAAGAGCCGACUAGACCAUUUGAGAUGCUACCCCGUGUGGUUCAUACUAGGCCUACACCCUUUGAGUAAAAGGGUCCUUUUUUUUUUCUUCAGACCGAUUCCUCAAAAGGGGUCGUGGGCUGGUUGGUAAUCAUCUUGUCCUGCUGCUGUGGAGAGUCCCGGUCUUUAUCAGCAACAACAUAGUGACGGCUCAGAUCUUCUGGGAGAGGCUGUGGAUGAUACUGUGAUGUGCAGAGUACUGGACAGAUGCAAGGAACAAGCACAUUUUCUAAAGACUAUUUCUGACUGGUGUUUCAUUGACUUUUAAAGAUGGUGUAUGACUCCAUGUUGACUCUCCCCAGAGACCUGCAGAACCAGCAUCGCCAGGAUGGGGAAAGUGCAACAGCUGCUCGGUGCGAGGGUUCCGGAACCAAGGCCCAGGUUGCCACGGCAGCUGGGGUUCUGUUCCUGAUUUGCCAGGGUGCUGAGUCUGGUGUCUCUCAGCUGGACAGCUCCGUGUCAUCACUGACUUCUAUAAUCCUCUGGAACACCAGGGCUUAAAGAGCUGGGUGCUGCCAUCUUUAUCUGCCGGGGGGGGGUCGGGAGCUCUCAUGGCCAG